UGGGGAGGUGGUCCCUUCCUGGGGAGGUCUCACCUCUCACUGAGAUGCACUCGGAGCCUAUCAAGUAUGAUCUUGAAGAAUGAGCACAACAUGACAGAAGCUGUUAAAGGAUCUUCUUCAUUGAAGGUAAUCAAACUAACAAAAAUUUAAGAAGGCCCUAUAAUAUCAGACAUAGAGAAACUUCUAAUGACCUGGAUUAAAGACAAGAUACAGAAGGACAUCCCUCUCAGCAUCAUGACAAUCACGGUCAAAGGAAAAAGUUUGUUUGUGAUGUUGAAAGAGGCUUGACCCUACUACAAUGCUGAAUUUACUGCUAACUCUGAAUGGUUUAAAGAAUUCAAGAAUCAUUAUUUAUUACAUAACGUGAAACUGAGUGGUGAGUCUCUGAGUGCUGAUGUGAAGGCAGAUGAAGAAUUUUUGGAAACUCUAAAUAAGAUGAUUGUGGAGGAAAAUUACUUGCAAAAGCAAAUGUUCGAUAUGGGUGAAACUUCCAUAUCACGGAAAUCAACGCCUAAAAGGACUUUCAUGCAUAAGGAGGCCGAGUCAAUCAAUGCCAAGUUUCAAGGCUUUUCAAGGAAAAGAUAGUCUUCCUUGUGAAACUCUUUGUGAUCUGGCACAGUGAGAACCCAGGGCCUUCAAGUGGAAGCACACAUUGCCGGUGUACUACAGGAGCAAUAAGAAGUCAUGGAUGAACCAGUUCCUCUUCCAAAUGCUCCCCUGAAUUGCUGUGCCAGUGAAAUGGAGAAUACUGUUUAGAGAAUAGCACACCUUUCAAGAUUUUGCUUCUUGUUGAUGAUACCCCUGGGCAUCUUCCUUUUAUUGAUGAUCUUCAUCCCAAUAUCAAAGUGGGAUGCUCCUCCAAACACCACCUCUUUGAUCUAGCCAAUGGAUCAAGGAGUUAUAGCAGUUUUUAAGACCGACUACUUGAGAAGGACCUUUAUCCGGGCUAUUGCUGCAACUGAGAAGACACUGACACAAUUUUGGGAGGAUUACAACAUCUAUGACUGGAUCAAAAACUUUGCUUGGAGGGCAAGCCCAGUGGCAUAAUGGUUAAGUUUGAAUGCUCUGCUUUGGCAGCCUGGGGUUGGCAGGUUCAGAUCCUGAGUGCAGACCUACACGCUGCCCAUCAAUCCAUGCUGUGGCAUCAUCCCACAUCCAAAAUAGAGGAAAAUUGGCACAGAUGUUAUCUCAGGGCCAAUCUUCCUCACCAAAAAAAAAAAAAGAAGAAGAACUUUGCUUGGGCUUGGGGUGAUGUCACCAAGGAGUAUAUGAAUGGCAUCUGGAAGAAGACACUCAAAAGGGUCUCCCAUGACUUCAAAGGAUUUGCCAAGGAUGAGGAGGUGGCAAAAAUCAACAAGGCUGUGGAUGAGAUGGCAAACAAUUUUAAUCUGGUGUGGAUGAGGAUGACACUGAGGAGCUUUUAGAGGUUGUUCCAGGGGUAUCGACUAAUGAGAAAUUGUUGGAACUGGAACAGAAACACAUAGCUGAAGAAGAGGCAGACAAAAGGAAACUGCAGGAGAAGAAAAAUAAGAAAAACCUCCAAGAAACUUCACAGUGAAAGAUUUAGUAGAAGCUUUUGCAGACCUCGACAAUCUCCUUAAAAUGCUUGAAAACAGGGGCCCCAACACCAAAAGGUUUUCAUGAAAAGUGAGGAAUAUUCAUGGUGCAUUAUCUGUUUACAAGCAAAUCUAUGGUGAGAAAAAGAAACAAACCAAGAAAACCACCAUGAACAUAAUUCUGAAAAGAGUGACACCUCCUCAAAAAGGGCCUCAGGCAGGUCCUUCGGGAGGUGUUCCAGAAGGCAUUGUUACCGUAGGAGAUGACAGCUCCAUGUGCGUUAUUGCCCCUGAAGACCUUCCAAUGGGAUAAGAUGGAAGACAGUGAUGCUAAUGAACCUGACCCAGUCCAGGCCUAGGCUAAUGAGUGUGUUUGUGUUUUAGUUUUUAACUAAAAAGUUUAAAAAGUAAAAGUAAAAAAUUUGAAAAAAAGAAAAAAGCUUAUAGAACAAGCAUAUAAAGAAAGAAAAUAUUUUUGUACAGCUACACAAUAUGUUUUUAACUAAGUGUUAUUACAAAAAAGUCAACAAGUUAAGAAAAAGGAAAAAUCUUAUAAAGCAAAAAUGUUACAAUAAGCUAAGGUUAAUUUAUUGUCGAAGAAAGAAAAAUAUUUUGAUAAAUUUAGUGUUUCCUAAAUGUACAGUACUUAUAAAGCCUGCAGCAGUGCACAGUAAUGUCCUAGGCCCUCACAUUCACUCACGGACUCACCCAGAGCAACUUCCAGUCCUGUACACCCCACUCAUGGUAAGUGCCCUCUACAAGUGUACCAUUUUUUAUCUUUUAUACCAUAUUUUUACUGUACCUUUUCUAUGUUUAAAUAUGUCUAGAUACACAAAUACUUACCAUUGUGUUACAAUUGCCUACAGUGUUCAGUCCAAUAACAUGCUGUAUAGAUUUGUAGCCCAGGAGCAACAGGCUACACCAUAGAGCCUGGGUGUGGAGUAGGCUACACUGUCUAGGUUUGUGUGAGUACACUCUGUGAUGUUUGCACAGGAGCAAAAUCGUCUAAUGACGCAUUUCUCAGAACAUACCCCAUUGUUACGUAAUAUGUGACUGUAUAACCUUUAAUAUAAAAAAUCCAGUGGGUGGGAUAAAACAGAUCUAAGACAGACAAAGAGACAAACGGCAAAUUGGAAGAUGACUCGGAGGAAAGGAUCUAAGAUCCAAUAAAGAUAUAAUAUGAGAUAAAACAUAAAAGAGUACUUACGAGAUUUGGAGAAUACGUAUUUAUGUGAAGUGUCUCUAAAUAUAAAGCAGUAGGUCCAAUAGCUAAUCUGGAAAAAAUACAUUACUGAGUAUCCCAAAAGUCUUGAAACACAAAGGAAAUGGUGUAUAUGUUGCACUUUUUUCUGAUUAAUGAUCAGCCUCAUUCCUUUAGAGAUUUUUUAACAUGAAAUAUAUUUAUCUGGAGGUUGAAGAAAGACACAUUGAUCUUAUAAUUUUUAAAAUGUAACUAAAAUACCGUUAAAAAAUAAGUUCGGGUUAGGCAAAGAUUUCUUAGGGAAAAGAAGCACAAAACAUAAAAGAAAUAUUGAUAAAUUACACCUCAUUAAAAUAAAGUUAUGCUCUUCCAAUGCUAUAAAGACAAUUAAAAGACAAGUCACAGACUGAGAGAAAAUAGCUGCAAAACGUAUUUAGUAAAGGAC
ensembl:lncRNA